CGGAGGGUGCAAGCGUUGUCCGGAUUUAUUGGGUUUAAAGGGUGCGUAGGCGGUCUUUUAAGUCAGUGGUGAAAUCCUGCAGCUCAACUGUAGAACAGCCAUUGAUACUGAAAGACUUGAGUACAGACGAGGUAGGCGGAAUUUAUGGUGUAGCGGUGAAAUGCAUAGAUACCAUAAAGAACCCCUAUUGCGAAGGCAGCUUACUAGGCUGUAACUGACGCUGAGGCACGAAAGCGUGGGGGAUCAAACAGGAUUAGAUACCCUGGUAGUCCACGCCGUAAACGAUGAUUACUCGAUGUUCGCGAUAUACAGUGAGCGUCCAAGCGAAAGCGUUAAGUAAUCCACCUGGGAAGUACGAUCGCAAGAUUG
rnacentral:rRNA from 1 species